rnacentral:misc_RNA from 1 species
UUUCAGGCAGCCACCCGCUGAAGCCUCCCGCAGCGACUAUAAAAAACGCGUCAGUCCGCCUGGCGGGCGACACCACGAUCCUACUGGGACUCUUGCACCUACCUUUGACGGUGCAGAUACCAGUGGCCUGUGCAACAGGUUCACAGAUCAAACAGUGGUGGCCAUCAUAUGGUUAAGAUAUGACCGGUCUCCGCUGUAACCAGCUGGAGAAGACACGUUCCGUAGGUGAACCUGCGGAAGGAUCAUUACAGAGUUAGGGUCUUUCAAGGCUCAACCUCCAACCCUAUGCGUAUCUACCUUUGUUGCUUUGGCGGGCCCGUUGGGGCGACCCACCGGCGGCCUUUGGCCCCUGAGUGCCCGUCAGAGACCCAUCAAAUCCUGUCAAUUGUGUCGUCUGAGUACAAACAUAAUAAUUAAAACUUUCAACAACGGAUCUCUUGGUUCUG